UAACGAACGUGGCAGAGAUAACCACUUCUCAUAAUUAUCUGCUUCACUGGUAUAUUUAUACGUGUUACGCGGACCACGGGGAACUAUGGCGAGCGGAUCUUGCAUGACGGAUCUCCAGAUUACGGGUGUUCCUGUCCGUCCAUUCGUACCUCAUAGCAAGAUGGCCACCACAGCAGCUUCCUUAGGCUCCUGCAAUCCGAGCCCUGCGAUACAUAACAUGAGAUACCCCACGUGAAACAACAAAAGGGAAAGUAAAAUGAAAUAAAUAAAAAAAUAAAUCAUACUACACAACCCUCUUUCUUCCUCCGUAUAUAUACAUAUAUAUAAUUUUGUAAGGUAUUGACAAUUCUAAAACUUGCUUCUACAAAUUGAAUUUGAAAUUAAUACUAAAACAAUUGUCAGCUUUCUAUAUAACUUUACCAUUUUUUUUUUUCAACAGGUACCAACUUUAUUUUAUGUCGUCAGCUUCUCUCAUCUUACUGGCAAAGCUUCUCCGAUACGCCAGGUAUAUACCGAACCUAUGUACUCGCAUUCAACGUGUGCGGUCCAGGCGACUACCUCGAUUCCAGCAUCCUUACUACAGAAUUGCUGUAUUCGUGGAGCAAGUUGAGUCCUCCUCGCACCAUCAAGGGUCCACCCAUCCACCCACUCCACUCUCUGCUUGGCUUCGCUUCAAUAUGUUACGGCUUGAUCCUCUCUCUCUCUCUUCCUCUCUUUCUUUCUUUCUUAAGUUCACGUAUGGCCUAGGUAUAUAGGUAUAGUACACAAGUGAGGAACGCACUCCCAUCCUCGUACUCACUCAGGACGGCGGCGCGCCGUCCGAUAAAUAAUUUCUUAAUGCAACCGAGCGGGAAUUCCUUACCAAGAAUAACAACAGCCGCCUAGAUCGUGUUUUACCGAGGCGCGGUGUUCUCGGACCGCCACGACGACUUUGUAACCAACUCUUCAUCCAUCCCGUUUGAAAAUGGACGCAUAAGGCUGACACUAGCACUUUUAUAUUAUACGUGUUCCUACGCACGAUGAAUCCAGAAAAGAUGAAGUGUAAGUAUCUAUGCCGAAAAAAAAUUGUUUCACCUUUUGAUUUUCUAGUGGAUAUAAGUAUAGCACUGUACUCUGACGUAUUUACCGAAGCCGUGGAUAAGUACGUAGGAUCAUCAUCAUGAAUUCAUGAGGGUUUGGAUAGAAUCCUUGUGAGACAUCAGCUUUCUUUAUACAAGCGACGAAGGACACCAUGGGAAGCUGUAAAAGCGUUCCGGAGAAGCAGUGAUUUUGUCUGCGGUUCAUCAUCGACGGCUAUCGACGGGAUGCUGUUGACGUAGGACUCAAUUGACUUCCCGGGUCUUGCCAAGAAAAUAUUAAAAGCC